rnacentral:lncRNA from 1 species
CUGGUGCACACAGGCUCCUCCUUCCCGCUGGGGCCUGCUGGAGCCGGCCAGCCAGUGCCAGGGCCAGUGGUCACUUCCUCUCCCUUCCCUGGCCAGCCUGGUCUCCACCUGGUGGAUGGUCACAGGCUUUACAGACACCCCAGGGCCACUGGAGCCCUGGUGGCAGCUGGGAUCCUGCGGAAGGUGAGGGCUCCCUGCCUGUUCGUGGGAGUGGCAUCGUCCUGUGAGUGGUUUCCACAGCCCCGGGAGUAACUA